CACAAGCAAGCACUCACAACACGCGCUGCCUCUCUUGCUUUGGAGAAUCUUGCACUCGUAGGCUUCGUAAAUGCCUUCUGUAAUUGACGCGAAGGGACUUCCCUCACUGGGUCCGCCCGUGUCGAACUGGGGCACGAACCAACCGAGAACAGGAGUCACGCGCAAUGCGCGUCGCGAAAAGCUUGGGCUGUGGAGCGCUGUCGCCCUGCAGCAACACUUCACAGCUACCGGCGGCCGUGGAGGUCUGCCGCUGCCGCUGUCGUCGUCCGCGUCGCCCUUGCAGAAAGUCAGGGGCGUCGCCGCGGCCCUGGGUGACAACGCCGGCUCCUCUUCGGGAACUGUAGCCUCAGACCUUCGGUCGCACCUCGGGCCUGCACCAAGUCUCGCCGGGCGAUUGCACAAGCCGACACUUGCGCAGCGCAUGGGGCUUGUACCAGGUCCGUCGCCGGCGCCAUCUGCCGACGACUGGCGGGUCAUUGCGCAUCGUGCCCUCUUGCGCGAGCAUCAAAACGCGCGCGACGCUGGCUUGCCCGGGGCCAACCCGUCUGUCUGCCCCAUCUGCCAAAUGAGCUACUCCUCCAACCGCGACGAAGGCCAGGUGAUCCUAAGUUGCUCACACGUCUUUCACGCCCAGUGCUUUCGCUCCUUCGAGCGAUACGUGCGCGCUCAACAGAGAGCUGAUGCCCUUGGAGUUACCGAGGUUAUCGCCCCACUGGCGUGUCCGGUGUGCCGCACGCAGAGCUACUAUAAGCGCAUCUUUUACGAGGGAAAAGCGGUAGCGCAACGAGCAGCCAUCGUCAAGGUGCAAGCCGCUGUCCGCGGACUUCUCGCGCGGCGCGCUUACACCAAAAUAAGACUGCUGAACAACCCACAGUUUCGCACGCGCUACGUCCAGGAGCGUCUCGCCCGUCUGUCUGCUGCAUGGCAAACUUUUUGUGCUGAGCAGGAGCAACGCCGAGCGGGUUUGCAGACGGCACUCGCCGUGCAGCACGAGAUGGCUCGCGCAGCCUUCUUGAGUGAAGAGGCAUGGGCGGAGCUCUGGAGGAAGGCGGUGCAUGGCCCGUCCACCUCUAGCGAACCUGGAAGUUUGGCGCCUCCGUCCACGGCUUGCGCGUUGGUGCAGUGCCCUAUCUGCCUGGAGCUCAUUCACUGCUCGCAGUGCCCCGGCACCGGGGCCGCCGCAUUUCAUGCAGGUGGGGUGCACCGCUUGACUGGAGAGGACGCUGUGGCGGAGAUGCGCAUGGCCUACGAAGCUCGAAAGGCAGCGCAAAGUCUUCCGUCUGUCGAGCCGAAGGCGUCAAGGGCGUCUGCUGGCACGCUUGCGGGAGCUUCGGCGAAAGGUGCAGCGCCGCGCAAGGCGGUCAACCCAUUGACCCCUAAGCCUGGAGCUGAUGUCUCGGUGAGGGAUGGAAAAGUGGCAUCGCGGCGCGCACCACAGCACCGAGCAGGGCGCCGGAAAGGAUUUGCUCAAUCGACAGGUGCCGCGCCGUGGCCUGAGAAUGAGAAUGCAUUCGCUGCACUGUCGUCUGCCCAGGGAGUGGACGCGGUCGGCGCUGACGAGGCUGCCGUGGUGCUGCCACAUAGUGGGGUCCUGCUCAGUUGCGGUCACUACUUCCACGCCGCCUGCAUUGACUGCUAUGAGCGCUUCAAUGAGCGGCGUUCCUUGGAAAUCAUAGCGCAAGAUGGUAGAGCAGCCGUCGCUUUUCCUAACCGCUGCCCCAUCUGCCGCUCCGGCUACAUCAAGCACCCGAUGUAAUCAUUCUUGUGGGAACAUGACGAGACGAGUGUGAGGGAGGGAAGGCAAGGUGCGGCGGGGUCACGGUGUCCCGGCCUCCCUCGCACUCUCUUUCCACGCAUCUCCGCACUCACCGGCUGAAGGGGAUUUCACUGCUACAUGUAAAGUGGCGUGUGCUUUCUUUUUUUUAUUUUCGCUGUGCCUACAGCUCUUGUUUCUUGUUGCUUGCAUGCUCUUGCGCACGUUUUGAAACGCAGAGCAGCGAUUGACAGCAAUCUUUCAAGUGCUGCCUCUGAACGUCUUGCGCAUGCGGCAUGGUUGCACUAGCGCGUGAGGGGGGAACCGCAUUUGCUUGUGGCGUUCUACCGUGCCUCCUGGUCUUGUUUCUCAUACAACCUAUGGGUGCGUCUUUCCUCUCUUUGUCAUGACGUUCCUUUCCUCACGCACACACAGAUGCAGCCCAAGGACCCCCUCUGAAGAGUUGGGACAAACGCGGAUAAGCACUUCCACACGCUAUUCCGUUGAUGUGCACGAGGCACAGGUGGUAUGGAUUUCAUAGAUGCCGCCAUGAGCGGCUGCCCCAUAAAGAGAAGACCGAGGAUGACAAGCAUGAACUUGCUCUUCCCGUGGAACUCAGCGAGCGAGUGCGUGCCGAACAGGCGAAAGAGGGGAAACUGGAUUAGUGUGUGUGUGUGCGCACCUGCUGCUUCUCUCCUGCCUCCUGACGACUGCUUUUCUGUCUCUGGGCGAUUGUCUCUCUUCUUGUUUGUUUCUCUUCAAUCUUGUGUGGUGCCCUCUCUCCCUCCCUCAAG
rnacentral:misc_RNA from 1 species